UACGUAGGGGGCAAGCGUUGUCCGGAUUUAUUGGGCGUAAAGCGCACGCAGGCGGUCUUUUAAGUUUUGAGUGACAGGCGAGGGCUUAACCCUGGCAGGCCUUGGAAAACUGGAAGACUUGAGGGCGAGAGAGGGAUGCGGAAUUCCAGGUGGAGCGGUGAAAUGCGUAGAGAUCUGGAAGAACACCGAAGGCGAAGGCAGCAUCCCGGAGCGUUACUGACGCUGAUGUGCGAAAGCUAGGGGAGCGAACGGG
rnacentral:rRNA from 1 species